rnacentral:rRNA from 1 species
GAGACCUCAGGUCAGGCGGGGCUACCCGCUGAGUUUAAGCAUAUCAAUAAGCGGAGGAAAAGA